GCCCUCGUAGCUCAGAGGCCAGAGCAGUGGUUUCCUAAACCGCGUGUCAGAGGUUCGAAUCCUCUCGGGGGCA
rnacentral:tRNA from 1 species